rnacentral:rRNA from 1 species
GGCGAACGCUGGCGGCGUGCUUAACACAUGCAAGUCGAACGGAAAGGCCCUGCUUUUGUGGGGUGCUCGAGUGGCGAACGGGUGAGUAACACGUGAGUAACCUGCCCUUGACUUUGGGAUAACUUCAGGCAACUGGGGCUAAUACCGGAUAGGAGCUCCUGCUGCAUGGUGGGGGUUGGAAAGUUUCGGCGGUUGGGGAUGGACUCGCGGCUUAUCAGCUUGUUGGUGGGGUAGUGGCUUACCAAGGCUUUGACGGGUAGCCGGCCUGAGAGGGUGACCGGCCACAUUGGGACUGAGAUACGGCCCAGACUCCUACGGGAGGCAGCAGUGGGGAAUAUUGCACAAUGGGCGGAAGCCUGAUGCAGCAACGCCGCGUGCGGGAUGACGGCCUUCGGGUUGUAAACCGCUUUCGCCUGUGACGAAGCGUGAGUGACGGUAAUGGGUAAAGAAGCACCGGCUAACUACGUG